rnacentral:lncRNA from 1 species
CCCAAAGUUCCAAAGCGAGGCAGGGGUCGAGCUGGUGCUCUAACCAGGCCUUAUGAUGCCGACUAAGCCCUGUGGCACACCGUCCUCGCUGCUGUUCCUUGGAGGUGGAGUUUAGGUCUCUGAUCAGGAAUACAGUGUCACAAACUAAGGGCUCCAUGGUUUUCUUCUCCAUGUUACCGGUGAAGAAACUGAGGCCCCGAAAGUCAUUUGGUUAAAUAGUUAUAGAGGUGACUUUUCAACAAGUAACACCGAGGACUUGAAGCCAUCCCUCUCUGCGCUGCAUGACAGAUACAGGUGACCCUCACACAACCUGAACCAAUAAAAUGGGCAAUUCCACAGAAGAGUGAAGCCUUCUUCCAGAAUAGAGGCCCUGAGCUCCUUCUUCAUGCCAGGUAAUGAGACCGGGUGCUAGACUAGGUCCUUCGGCCAAGGAACCGACAAUCUACUGGGGUCAAGGGGGUGACGUACACCUGUACACAGAGAAGCGAACAAGCACGAGACAGGAAGAAAAUACUAGCAGUGAGGAGAACCAGAGGUGUCACGUGAGCUGAACCUAGAAGGAAGAUAGAAACUCAUAGGGCGGAGAGGCGCUGCUUGGCUUUGGAAGCCCUGACUUUGGGAGCCACCUCUCCCGGGCUGAGAGAUUGUUGCCCGCAGCUCCACGGGAAGGGCCUGAAGGACCCUGGGCGGCGGAGCAAGGCCGGGCGUCUGAAGCGCCCUGAAAUUCGAAUGGAGAGGUCCUCGGGAGGGAGUUCUAAAUGAGGGUGCUGAAAACGGUGAUGGCGCUCAAUAAAAGCUUUGACAACUGAUGGCUACUGGGGGGAAGGGGAGGAGCGGCGGCUGCUGGAAGACAUUGCUCCGGCGUGCUUGGGCCCCGAGGAGGGCAUUCUCGGGAGCUAGAAUCCUGCCCCGGAGGAUCCGCGCCCCACGGCUGGCCAACGGAGUCUCUGAGAGUCC